rnacentral:rRNA from 1 species
CGGGAGGCCGCAGUGGGGAAUCUUCCGCAAUGGGCGAAAGCCUGACGGAGCAACGCCGCGUGAUCGAAUGAAGGCCUUCGGGUUGUAAAGAUCUGUUGACAGGGACGAAUAAGCAAUGCGAAUAGUUUUGUGUAUGACGGUACCUGUUUAGAAAGCUCCGGCUAACUACGUGCC